ensembl:lncRNA
GUCUCUUCCACCCCAACCAUUGUAGGAUCCCAUGGUUCCAUGAUCCUAAAGAUUCCUCCCAGCCCAACCAUUGUAGGAUCUCAUGGUUGUAUGGUCUUUAAAACCAAAACCUUGUGGGAUCCCACAGUGCCAUGAUCCUAAAUGUCCUCUCCACCCCAACCCUUUUAGGAUCCUGUGGUGUUGCGGUCUUCAAGGUCCCUUCCACCCCAACCAUUGUAGGAUCCCGUGGUUCCAUGAUCCUAAAUAUCCUCUCCACCCCAACCCUUUCAGGAUCCCAUGGUUCCAUGAUCCUAAAGGUCCUCCCAUCCCAUCCCUUUUAGGAUCCUGUGGUGUUGUGGUCUUCAAGGUCCCUUCCACCCCAAUCAUUUUAGGACCCCGUGGUGUUAUGAUCCUAAAUAUCCUCUCCACCCCAACCAUUGUAGGAUCCCAUGGUUCCAUGAUCCUAAAGAUUCCUCCCAACCCAACCACUGUAGGAUCUCAUGGUUGUAUGGUCUUUAAAUCCAAACAUUGUGGGAUCCCACAGUGCCAUGAUCCUAAAGGUCCUCUCCACCCCAACCCUUGUAGGAUCCCGUGGUGUUAUGAUCUUUAAGGUCCUUUCCACCCCAACCAUUGUAGGAUUCCGUGGUUCCAUGAUCCUAAAGGUCCUCUCCACCCCAACCCUUGUAGGAUCCCACAGUUCUGUGGUCUUUCACAUCCCUAAAACCCAACCCUUCUGGGAUCCCAUUCUGGUAUGAUCUUAAAGGUCCCCUCCACCCCAUCCACUGUAGGAUCUCACAGAUCUGUGAUCCUAAAGGUCCUCCCAACCCAUCAUCGAGUGCCAUAAACU